GACAGAGGGUGCAACCGUUGUUCGGAAUUACUGGGCGUAAAGGGUGCGUAGGCGGGUCUUUAAGUCAGGGGUGAAAUCCUGGAGCUCAACUCCAGAACUGCCUUUGAUACUGAAGAUCUUGAGUUCGGGAGAGGUGAGUGGAACUGCGAGUGUAGAGGUGAAAUUCGUAGAUAUUCGCAAGAACACCAGUGGCGAAGGCGGCUCACUGGCCCGAUACUGACGCUGAGGCACGAAAGCGUGGGGAGCAAACAGG
rnacentral:rRNA from 1 species